AGUUGUGUAAUAAUCCUGGUGGGGCUCACAGCACUGCGUGGCAGGAGCGGAGCGAGCCUCGUAGGCGUUCCAGGUGUUCCCUGAGCCGGAUUAAAUGCCUCUGCGCUGUGGGGGUGGGGACAGCGUGGGGGGAAGCCAGGAAAAGCCGGGGCCAGAGGACCCCCCGCCGAGAAAGAGAAAGAGCUCAGAGCCGGGGACUGGAGGCCUGGAGGAGCCGAUGUGGGAGAGAUCCUCGUGGGAGGGCCCCAGUGGCCGGGAUGGUAAAAGACUUCGGAGCAAACUAAUCGAUUGUAAUUACAUGAAGGUGAAGCUGGUGAUGAUGUGUCAGAUGGGGAGUGUUCAGGAAAACUCCUACAAAGGUCUGCUGUGUGCCAAAAUAUUUUACCAUGCCCUAAAAGUGAGAUGUUGGAAGUGGACAAGGAGGAAAUAUUUAUGAAUAUUUGAGUCUGUUAUUCUUUAUGUUAAGCAUUUUGGCUUCUGUUGUACUCCUAAAUCACUACUGAGAGCAGAGAAAGAGCUCUUUGUAGAAAUGAGAUGUGUUCCUGUGUGCUGCCUGUGACGCAUCCCGUUGUCACCGGAGUGCCGUGGCCCUAAGGAAUGACAGCAUUAAGGCAUGGACGUUAAAGAUGGACAAAAGAAUUGUUCACGGUGUUGUAUUUUAAAAUGACUAUGUGUAUGACAAUUAAACUAUUGUGUCUUCGUUUACUCCAUGUGUUCUGCCUGACAGCUGGG
rnacentral:lncRNA from 1 species